rnacentral:sRNA from 1 species
CACGUCAAGAUGGCGUCGCCUGUUGAGC